AGCAGCCGCGGUAAUUCCAGCUCCAAUAGCGUAUAUUAAAGUUGUUGCAGUUAAAAAGCUCGUAGUUGAAUUUCGGGAUCAAGGAAUCGGUCAUGCCUCGGUAUGUACUGGUUUUAUUGGUUCUCACCUUCUAAAGAACCAUGAUGUCAUUCAUUUGAUGUUAUGGGGAAUUAGGACUGUUACCUUGAAAAAUUAGAGUGUUUAAAGCAGGCUUACGCUUGAAUACAUUAGCAUGGAAUAAUGAAAUAGGACAUCAGAUUCUAUUUUGUUGGUUUCUAGGAUCGAUGUAAUGAUUAAUAGGGAUAGUUGGGGGCAUUAGUAUUCAAUUGUCAGAGGUGAAAUUCUUGGAUUUAUUGAAGACUAACUACUGCGAAAGCAUUUGCCAAGGAUGUUUUCAUUAAUCAAGAACGAAAGUUAGGGGAUCGAAGACGAUCAGAUACCGUCGUAGUCUUAACCAUAAACUAUGCCGACUAGGGAUCGGAUGAUGUUUAUUUUUAGUGACUCAUUC
rnacentral:rRNA from 1 species